rnacentral:rRNA from 1 species
UGAGUACGAGAUGCUACGGCAUCGAAGCAGUCUAUGUCAUACUUCCAAGAAAAGCUUGCAAUGUCAUAAACAAAUAAUGCCUGUACCAUAACCGACACAGGUGGGUAGGUAGAGUAUACUAAGGGGCGCGAGAUAACUCUCUCUAAGGAACUCGGCAAAAUGACUCCGUAACUUCGGGAGAAGGAGUGCCUUAUUUUUAUAAGGUUGCAAUAACAAGAUCCAAGCAACUGUUUACCAAAAACACAGGUCUCCGCUAAGUCGUAAGACGAUGUAUGGGGGCUGACGCCUGCCCAGUGCCAGAAGGUUAAAGAAGUUGGUUAGCAUUAGCGAAGCUGAUAACUGAAGCCCUGGUGAACGGCGGCCGUAACAAUAACGGUCCUAAGGUAGCGGAAUUCCUUGUCGGGUAAGUUCCGACCCGCACGAAAGGCGUAAUGAUUUGGAUACUGUCUCGGAGAGGGGCUCGGUGAAAUAGACUUGUCUGUGAAGAUGCGGACUACCUGCACCUGGACAGAAAGACCCUAUGAAGCUUUACUGUAACUUGAGAUUGAAAUUGGACUUUAUCUGCGCAGUAUAGGUGGGAGACGUUGAAAAUAUUCUUGCGGGAAUAUUGGAGUCAUCAGUGAGAUACCACUCUUAUAAUGUUAGAUUUCUAACUUUGUAUCAUUAUCUGGUCAAAGAACAGUUUCAGGCGGGCAGUUUGACUGGGGCGGUCGCCUCCCAAACGGUAACGGAGGCGCACAAAGGUUUCCUCUGAACGUGUAGAAAUCGUAUCUAGAGUGUAAAGGCAUAAGGAAGCUUGACUGUGAGACCUACAAGUCGAGCAGGGACGAAAGUCGGUCUUAGUGAUCUGACGGUGCUGAGUGGAAAGGCCGUCACUCAACGGAUAAAAGUUACUCUAGGGAUAACAGGCUGAUCUCCCCCAAGAGUUCACAUCGACGGGGAGGUUUGGCACCUCGAUGUCGGCUCAUCGCAUCCUGGGGCGGUAGUACGUCCCAAGGGUUGGGCUGUUCGCCCAUGAAAGCGGUACGCGAGCUGGGUUCAGGACGUCGUGAGACAGUUCGGUCCAUAUCCGGUGUAGGCGUUAGAAUAUUGAGAGGAGCCUUCUUUAGUACGAGAGGACCGAGAAGGACAUACCUCUGGUGUACCAGUUAUCGUGCCAACGGUAAACGCUGGGCAGCCAUGUAUGGAGAGGAUAACCGCUGAAAGCAUCUAAGUGGGAAGCCCACCUCAAGAUAAG